CCUACGGGGUGCAGCAGUGGGGAAUAUUGCACAAUGGGGGAAACCCUGAUGCAGCGACGCCGCGUGAGUGAAGAAGUAAUUCGGUAUGUAAAGCUCUAUCAGCAGGGAAGAAAAUGAAGGUACCUGAGUAAGAAGCCCCGGCUAACUACGUGCCAGCAGCCGCGGUAAUACGUAGGGGGCAAGCGUUAUCCGGAUUUACUGGGUGUAAAGGGAGCGUAGACGGCAGUGCAAGUCUGGAGUGAAAGGCGGGGGCUCAACCCCGGGACUGCUUUGGAAACUGUACGGCUGGAGUGCAGGAGAGGUAAGUGGAAUUCCUAGUGUAGCGGUGAAAUGCGUAGAUAUUAGGAGGAACACCAGUGGCGAAGGCGGCUUACUGGACUGUAACUGACGUUGAGGCUCGAAAGCGUGGGGAGCAAACAGGAUUAGAUACCCGUGUAGUC
rnacentral:rRNA from 1 species